rnacentral:rRNA from 1 species
CCUACGGGAGGCUGCAGUGAGGAAUAUUGGUCAAUGGGCGGAAGCCUGAACCAGCCAAGUAGCGUGCAGGAUGACGGCCCUACGGGUUGUAAACUGCUUUUAUACGGGAGUAACGCGCCUUACGUGUAGGGCUUUGCAUGUACCGUAUGAAUAAGGACCGGCUAAUUCCGUGCCAGCAGCCGCGGUAAUACGGAGGAUGAGAGCGUUAUCCGGAUUUAGUGGGGUUAAAGGGUGCGCAGGGGGAGGUGAAAGUCAGCGGGAAAAUUGCGGGGCUAAACCCCGUACUGCCGUUGAAACUGCAUCCCUUGAGUGCGCGAGAGGUAUGCGGAAUGCGUGGUGUAGCGGUGAAAUGCAUAGAUAUCACGCAGAA